rnacentral:sRNA from 1 species
UCCGCCAUAGAGCGCGUGUGUGGUUCUAAUGCGGGCAUGCUCUAACUUGAGUACGGAUUAGCCAUCACAAACUCAAAUGAGAACUUUGCAAAGAAAACAUUCAUCUCAAGAUAUAUUUUGACAAUGCUACAGUUUUUGUUUGGAACAAAGUUUUCUCAAUAACUUCUAUUAAACGGAUGCUGCACAUAAAUCCUCGCUUCAAUACUGACGCUGCACAGGUACUAUCCUAUCGCAUUCUGGAAAAAGGACUCAAGAUCGUGUCAUAUUUUGUUGUUAAUGGUAGAUGACACUGACUUACUCAGCGACAUUUACAUUCGACCAGUAGAUUUUAAUCAGUGUAAAUUAUAACCAAACACAAUGGCUGACAAAGCUUCUAAACAUUCCAAGAGCAACAAAAAGUCAGGGGAGACAAACGGUGUUGUAUUACUGCUGAACGUCAAGACUCUGGAUCAGCCGACCAGCGCACUGAAUGUUGAGGAAGUGCAUGUAAAUAUUGGAUAUGAAAAGGACAAUACCUCUUCCCUAAAUCAAGAAAUCAGCACUCCAGUACAUGAAGCUGACCAGUACAGUAAUGUUCAAACGACAGAAGAGAUUGCUCUGAAUGCCUCACAGCCUCGU